GUUUAAAAGAGGAAAAUAAUUGCGGUUACUGACUUUGCUGGGGGAAAAAAAAUAUAAUGUUCCUUAAAACAUUUAAAUGGGCAAGUGGGAAGAAUUUUGAAAAAAAAAAAAAAAGCUUCUAGCUGUGUGCGUGGAAACUCUGGCUAUGUGCCUGAGACAUACAGCAAAAAACAACAUAUGGAACUCACCAGUUCCUAAAAUCCCUUUCCACAAAAUUCAUGCCACUCCUCACCACAAUAAAAUGACUCACAGAGGGGUGUGUUUUAUGCCUCCCAGGCAGAACUCCCUAGUCCACAAUUAGUCUAUCUAUUGAAAGGCCAAAAUACCUUAUUGUUUUACUUGCUGUAUAAUUAUCUGUUAUGAUGAACUGUGAUUCUAAGGACUAUUGUCCCUAGGCUUGGAUCUGUGUGUGGAGCAGUUCCCUGGCUGAGACCCAGGAGUGGACCUUCCAUUUAGAAUCCAUGCCUGAGUGAUUUCUCCAGUCUCUCCCUGGCUGGCUGAAACAGGGACUGUUUCUGCAUGAUUUCUUGGGUUGAUGAGAAGCAAUUAUGCCUUAAAUGAAGUCAUUCAUGUCUGCCAUUUUGUUUGCGGCAUCAUAUUUGUCAGUAUUCAAAGUAGAGAUGAUUAUUUUUCUUUUUCUUAUUAGACUGGUAGCGGCAUCUCUUAAUAAUUUAUUGCCUUUUUGUUUGCAGCAUCCCAGGACAGAAUAUCUCACAACCCGUUAUUGGAAGACAUUACCAAACUCUGUCAAAUUUGGAUGUCAGAUUAUGUUAUACAUUAUAAAUUACAGCAGCAGAUGUUCUUUUAAAAAGUUGUGGUUUCUUUAA
rnacentral:lncRNA from 1 species